rnacentral:rRNA from 1 species
AACGAACGCUGGCGGCAUGCCUAACACAUGCAAGUCGAACGAGAUCUUCGGAUCUAGUGGCGCACGGGUGCGUAACACGUGGGAAUCUGCCCUUGGGUUCAGAAUAACUCUCCGAAAGGAGUGCUAAUACCGGAUGAUGUCGAAAGCCCAAAGAUUUAUCGCCCAGGGAUGAGCCCGCGUAGGAUUAGCUAGUUGGUGGGGUAAAGGCCUACCAAGGCGACGAUCCUUAGCUGGUCGGAGAGGAUGAUCAGCCACACUGGGACUGAGACACGGCCCAGACUCCUACGGGAGGCAGCGGUGGGGAAUAUUGGACAAUGGGAGAAAGCCUGAUCCAGCAAUGCCGCGUGAGUGAUGAAGGCCUUAGGGUUGUAAAGCUCUUUUACCCGGGAUGAUAAUGACAGUACCGGGAGAAUAAGCCCCGGCUAACUCCGUGCCAGCCGCCGCCGUAACAC